UACGAGGGGGGCGAGCGUUGUUCGGAAUUAUUGGGCGUAAAGGGUGCGUAGGCGGUUUGGUAAGUCUGAUGUGAAAUCUAUGGGCUCAACUCAUAGUCUGCAUCGGAAACGGCCGAGCUAUGAGUGCAGGAGAGGGAAGUGGAACUCCGGGAGUAGCGGUGAAAUGCGUAGAGACCCGGAGGAACACCAGUGGCGAAGGCGGCUUCCUGGUCUGCAACUGACGCUGUGGCGCGAAAGCUAGGGGAGCAAACGGG
rnacentral:rRNA from 1 species